rnacentral:rRNA from 1 species
AUACCAGCUCUCCGAGUGGUGUGGACGUUUAUUGGGCCUAAAGCAUCCGUAGCUGGCUGAACAAGUCCCCUGUUAAACCCACCGAUUUAAUCGUUGGCUUGCGGGGGAAACUGCUCGGCUAGGGGACGAGAGAGGCAGACGGUAUUCUUGGGGUAGGGGUGAAAUCCUAUAAUCCCAGGAAGACCACCAGUGGCGAAGGCUGUCUGCUAGAACGCGCCCGACGGUGAGGGAUGAAAGCUGGGGGAGCGAACCGGAUUAGAUACCCGGGUAGUCCCAGCUGUAAACGAUGCAGACUAGGUGUUUGGACGGCCACGUGCCGUUCUAGUGCCGCAGGGAAGCUGUUAAGUCUGCCGCCUGGGGAGUACGAUCGCAAGAUUGAA